CUUGAUGUUAGGUAGUUAAUAAAAGUAAUUUUAUAGGAGAUAGUUAUAGUAUAGUGUAUAGAAUAGAUUUGUAUUGAUUUAUAGAAGAUUAGUAUUGUGGAAGGAAUAUGAAAUAUAUUAAAUAGGGUUUUAAGUGUAAGUAGAAGUAUUUUUGUACCUUGUGUAUCAGGGUUUAUUAAAUUGGUUUUAUGGAAUUAACUAUCCCGAAGUGAGAUGGGCAAGGGUUAUAUGUUGUUUAUAGUGAUAAAUUUAUCAAUAAUAUAAUUUUUGUAAUGAAAUGUUAGUCGUUUUUUAUGAUAUCUGGUUUCUUGGGAGAGAAAUUUAAUUUUUUAAAUAUUGGUGUAUUUUUUGUUUUGAUGAAAUAAUUUAUAGGAUAUGGGGUAUAUUUUUGGGGAUGAGCUGGAGUAUAUUUGAUUAUAAAAUGUGUUGAAUUAUUGAGGUAAUAGGCUUUAAAUUAGCUUUUUAUAUUAAAUUGUUAUAAAUAAAUUGAAUUAGAAUAUGAUUUAGGAAAUUUUUUAAUUUGUUUACUGAGAUGAUUGGCGUAAUAGGUGUGUUUAUGUAAUUAUGAUAAAAUGAGUAUAUAAUUAGAGUUAUAAGUGUUUAAUAUUAAAGUUUUAUGUGAAUUAUUUUUGAGGAACUAGGCAAAGUUAUGAAUUAUUCACAUGUUUAUCAAAAACAUCUCUUUUUGUUUUUAUAAAAAGUAGGGCCUGCCCGCUGAGAUUUGAAGGGCCGCGGUAAUUUGACUGUGCGAAGGUAGCAAAAUCAUUAGUCUUUUAAUUGGAGGCUGGAAUGAAUGGUUUGAUGAAAUAAAGACUGUCUUUGUUUUAUAAGUGGAAAUUAACUUUUUAGUAAAAAGGCUAAAAUUUUGAUAAGGGACGAGAAGACCCUAUAGAGUUUUACUUAAUAGGAAUUAAUUUAUGUUGGUUGUAGUAGAUAAGUUAUUAUAAAUUUGAGUUUUGUUGGGGAGACAUAGGGAAUUAAUAAACUCUUUAGUGAAUUUAUAAUAAACAUUGAUUAGUGGUUAAGUGAUCCAUUAGUAUUGAUUAGAAGAUUAAAUUACCUUAGGGAUAACAGCGUUAUUUUUUUUGAGAGUUCUUAUCGACAAGAAAGAUUGCGACCUCGAUGUUGGAUUAAGAAAAUUUUUAGGUGUAGAGGCUUAUGGUAAUAAGUCUGUUCGACUUUUAAAUUCUUACAUGAUCUGAGUUCAGACCGGCGUGAGCCAGGUCGGUUUCUAUCUUUAUUUUAAUAGAAGAUCUUAGUACGAGAGGACCAGGUUUUCCAAAAAUUUUUUUUUGAUUUGAAUGGAAUUAAGCGG
rnacentral:rRNA from 1 species